rnacentral:rRNA from 1 species
CCUACGGGAGGCAGCAGUGAGGAAUAUUGGUCAAUGGGCGGAAGCCUGAACCAGCCAAGUAGCGUGAAGGAUGACGGCACUACGGGUUGUAAACUGCUUUUAUACGGGAAUAACGCGCCUUACGUGUAGGGCUUUGCAUAUACAGUAUGAAUAAGGACCGGCUAAUUCCGUGCCAGCAGCCGCGGUAAUACGGAAGGUCCGGGCGUUAUCCGGAUUUAUUGGGUUUAAAGGGAGCGUAGGCCGCAUGUCAAGCGUGCUUUUAAAUGUACGGACUAAACCCGGGCCUUGCAGCGCGAACUGGCGUGCGUGAGUCCGCGGAAAGCAGGCGGAAUUCGUCGUGUAGCGGUGAAAUGCUUAGAUAUGACGAAGAACCCCGAUUGCGAAGGCAGCUUGCUGCAGCGGAACUGACGCUGAUGCUCGAAAGCGCGGGUAUCGAACAGGAUUAGAUACCCCUGUAGUC